UGGGCACCCUUUCUCUGAGCAGAAGACACGUAUUGGAAAGAUUGAAAAAUUACUCAAGAAGGGCUUCAUUUUAAAAAGCAUAGAGAGAAUUGUGAGCUGCUUGAAAGAUAGCAAAAUUCGCAUACAUUGCCUUCUGGCUGGCAACCAUUCCGUGUGUAGACCUCUUACAGCCUUUGCUGCCUGUCGACCAUCUCAGCUCCUCCCCAAGCCACUGCUCUAGACUGCUGACACUCCUGUGAACUCUGUCCAACCGUGUAAUAUAUUUGGCCAUCAUGGAGAAGCUUCAGACUUUAGAGGCUUGGACUGGACCCUGAUGAAGAUUUUUCAUUCAACACAUUCAACAACUUACAUCAUUUUUACAGAGCACUAUACAAUUUUCUUAUGUUCUUAAGAGAAAAAGCAGCUUUGAUGUUUUGUUCAUAUUUAAGUUCAAAAGAUUUCCAUAUUUUAUUUUCUUUCUCAUAGUCAGAAAGGAACACAAAAUAGAAUUAACAGGAAAAAUAAUCUUUGGACAUUGAGAUCUGUAAGAGCUAUAAU